UACAGAGGGGGCAAGCGUUGUUCGGAAUUACUGGGCGUAAAGGGCGCGUAGGCGGCCUUCUAAGUCGAACGUGAAAUCCCUGGGCUCAACCCAGGAACUGCGUCCGAUACUGGGAGGCUUGAAUCCGGGAGAGGGAUGCGGAAUUCCAGGUGUAGCGGUGAAAUGCGUAGAUAUCUGGAGGAACACCGGUGGCGAAGGCGGCAUCCUGGACCGGUAUUGGCGCUGAGGCGCGAAAGCCAGGGGAGCAAACGGG
rnacentral:rRNA from 1 species